GACGAACGCUGGCGGCGUGCUUAACACAUGCAAGUCGAACGGAAAGGCCUCUUUCGGGGGGUACUCGAGUGGCGAACGGGUGAGUAACACGUGAGUAACCUGCCCUUGACUUUGGGAUAACUUCAGGAAACUGGGGCUAAUACCGGAUAGGAGCUCGUGCUGCAUGGUGGGGGUUGGAAAGUUUCGGCGGUUGGGGAUGGACUGGCGGCUUAUCAGCUUGUUGGUGGGGUAGUGGCUUACCAAGGCUUUGACGGGUAGCCGGCCUGAGAGGGUGACCGGCCACAUUGGGACUGAGAUACGGCCCAGACUCCUACGGGAGGCAGCAGUGGGGAAUAUUGCACAAUGGGUGGAAGCCUGAUGCAGCAACGCCGUGUGCGGGAUGACGGCCUUCGGGUUGUAAACCGCUUUCGCUCAUGACGAAGCUUUGUGUGACGGUAGUGGGUAAAGAAGCACCGGCUAACUACGUG
rnacentral:rRNA from 1 species